AUCUUUCUGGUGAUCACCUUGCUUUGUUUACAUCAUUGAAGAUCUCAAAGCCCCCGAAACAACGACAUACCGUGUCUUAUCGCAAAUUUAGUGACAUCAAAACAACUGACUUCAUACAAGAUUUGAGCAGCACUAAAAUAGUUCAAAAUCGUGAAGGGUCGGUUGAAAAUAUAGUAAACCUGUAUAACACUGAGCUUAGUUCAAUCAUCGAUAGCCAUGCACCAUUAAAAUCGAGGAACAUUAUAAUGCGUCCUAACACUGAGUGGUAUACAGACGAACUCCGCUUAGCUAAGAGAGACCGUCGAAAAGCAGAACGACGAAUGCGGAAAUCGAAUUUGACAGUUCAUCGUCAAAUAUUUCAAGAUACCUGUCUGAAAGCAAGCAAGCUUCUCCUUAAAUCCAAGAAGGACUAUUUUUCAACAAAAAUAUCCGAUAUAGAACAUGAUCAAAAGCAAUUGCAUCGUUUGACAAAUGACUUAAUGGGCAAUAGGCAAGAAUCAUACUACCUUCGCAUAAAGAUGAAAAAGUUCUGGCUGACAAAUUUUGUGAAUUUUUUGUUGGAAAAAUAAGUGCCAUUCGUGACAAUCUCACGGCUAAGAAUGAUGCAUCAAAUUACAACCGUGAUACAAUGAGAGCUGAUAUAAAAUUCGAAGGUGAACCAUUAAGAUCGUUAUCGCCAGUUUCAAAUGACGAACUUCGUAAAAUUAUCUUGGCUGCUCCAACAAAGUCUUGCGAACUUGAUCCGUUACCAACAAAACUUCUUAAGCCUUGUGUGGAUCAUUUGUUGCCGUCAAUCACAGAUAUAGUCAACAGAUCGCUAUCAGAACAAUGUGUACCACUGUCGUUCAAACAAGCUGUUGUGAGACCAUUACUUAAGAAACCAAAUCUAGAUAAAGAGGUCCUCAAAAACUACCGACCAGUCUCCAACUUACCUUUCAUUUCAAAGACACUGGAAAAGGUUAUCGACAUUCGACUGGAAAAUCACAUGAAUUCACAUUCUCUAUAUGAUAGUGUUCAGUCAGCCUACCGUACAUGUCAUUCCACGGAAACUGCUCUCUUACGUGUUCAUCACGAUAUUGCCUAUGCAUUAGAUAAUAACUGUUGUGCCGUUUUGCUCAUGCUCGAUCUUUCGGCCGCUUUUGAUACCAUCGACCAUCAGAUUCUUUUUGAUCGUUUGGAAUAUUCUUUUGGCGUUACCGGAGAUGCUUUGCUAUGGUUAAAAUCGUAUCUUAUAAACAGGACUCAACGUGUUGCUAUAGGAUCAGUACAAUCUGACGAUAUCAAACUUGAUUUUGGUGUACCGCAGGGCUCGGUCUUGGGGCCGAAACUAUAUUGUAUUUUUGCAAAACCAGUAGGCGAAAUUUGUAGGCGCCAUGGAAUGUCAUACCAUUCGUACGCAGACGACACUCAGGUUUAUCAAAUCAUAAGACCGAAAGGAGACUGGUGCGAUCUGUCCAAACGACUAGAAAAAUGUUUGUCUGAUAUUGGUGAUUGGAUGAGUGCCAACAUGUUGAAACUUAAUGAAGACAAGACAGAAUUAAUAAUUUUUGCACCAAAACAUCAAUUGAAGCAUCUUUCAGAUUUUCGUCUGACAUUUGAUGGAACAGUGUUAAGCGACGUUUCUUGUGUGAAAAAUCUGGGAAUGUACUUUGAUAAAACCAUCAGUAUGGAACAUCAAGCCAGUGCGAUCACUAAGGCUUGUUUUUACCAAAUUCGGAAUAUUGGUAGAAUUCGAGCUUUAAAUUCAGUUGAAGCCUGUAAAACACUAGUGUGCUCCCUAGUUACAUCAAGGCUGGACUAUGGCAAUGCAUUGUUGUACGGUACUAACACCAACAUUAUCAGUAAAUUGCAGCGGGUCCAAAACACAGCAGCACGUUUGAUAACACGAAAAAGAAAAUUUGACUCAAUUACGCCUGUUUUAAUAUCGUUACACUGGCUACCCAUACAUUACCGUUGCCAAUAUAAAC
rnacentral:lncRNA from 1 species